rnacentral:rRNA from 1 species
AUGAGUGGGAGCGCGGCGAAGCGCGUCGGGACGCCGCUGGCCGACGCGGAGGGCAGCCCCAAGCGCCCGCGGAGCAGCCGCCACCCCUCGCUCUCCCCCUCGCCGUCGCAGGCGCGCUCGCAGGCGCCCUCGCCCUCGCAGUCGCGGUCGCGGUCCCGGUCGAGGUCGCGGCUUCUCCUGGCGCGGACGUCGCCGCCACCAUACAUAGGGUCACCCUCCUACGCCCCAUACGACGACCGGAGUCCCAGCCGCAGCUACAGCCGCAGCCGUCGCCGUAGCCGCAGCCGCGUGUCAGAGGAGACGGACGGGAAUGGGCGGCCGGUCUGGAGGCCGCACUCGUACAGGGAGCACAGCGGCGAGCACGGGGACGGCGAGUACAGCGUCCGCAUCGGCGACUACGACCGCCUCUUCAUCUGCCGGAGCUGCCACCGCAUGCUCUCCACGCCGGUCUACGAGUGUCCGGACGGGCAUGUCACCUGCUCGAGGUGCCGUGACAACAUCGGGGACAACCGCUGCAACUACUGUGCGGCCAAUGGCUGCGUGCGCAGCCGCGCCGUCGAGGAGUUCCUCGGCCGCAUCAGCUUCUCCUGCCGCAACCAGCAGUACGGCUGCGAGGUGUUCCUGCUGCACCAUGAGAUGCGCGCGCACGAACGCACCUGCCACUAUGACCCCUGCUUCUGCCCGGUCCAUCGCUGCGGCUUCGCCGGCCCGGCCUACGAUCUAGAGUCCCACCUCGCCACCAUCCACCGCUGGGAGGUGAUCAACUUCCGCUAUGGCGAGAGCUUCCAGGCCCCUGCCUUUGACUCUGCCAUCUUCCGCUGCGAGGACUACGGCGAGCUCUUCCACAUCAGCAGCUCCCGCGAGGGCUUGGGCACCGCGCUCUCCAUGAUCUGCAUCCGCCCUGACAACGCCUUCGAGGAGGAGUUCACCUACGAGCUGAAGAUGCCGGCGGGUGGACGGCGCCACAGGCUGCAGAUUCAGUCGACCGUGUGGAACACUUCGCUGCGGUACGGGAUCGGUGAGGGGAGUGACGUCUUCCUGCUGGUCCCUGACAAGCUGCCCGGCGUCGAGAAUGGCUGUGCCGUGGAGGUGUGCAUUCGCAAGGUGGUGUCUGGUAACUAG